GGUGAGUAACACGUGGGCAACCUGCCCUGCAGACUGGGAUAACUUCGGGAAACCGGANCUAAUACCGGAUAACACCGAAAACCGCAUGGUUUUCGGUUGAAAGGCGGCAUUAGCUGUCACUGCAGGAUGGGCCCGCGGCGCAUUAGCUAGUUGGUGAGGUAACGGCUCACCAAGGCGACGAUGCGUAGCCGACCUGAGAGGGUGACCGGCCACACUGGGACUGAGACACGGCCCAGACUCCUACGGGAGGCAGCAGUAGGGAAUCUUCCGCAAUGGACGAAAGUCUGACGGAGCAACGCCGCGUGAGCGAAGAAGGUCUUCGGAUCGUAAAGCUCUGUUGUCAGGGAAGAACAAGUACCGUUCGAACAGGGCGGUACCUUGACGGUACCUGACGAGGAAGCCACGGCUAACUACGUGCCAGCAGCCGCGGUAAUACGUAGGUGGCAAGCGUUGUCCGGAAUUAUUGGGCGUAAAGCGCGCGCAGGCGGUUCCUUAAGUCUGAUGUGAAAUCUCGCGGCUCANCCGCGAGCGGCCAUUGGAAACUGGGGAACUUGAGUGCAGGAGAGGGGAGCGGAAUUCCACGUGUAGCGGUGAAAUGCGUAGAGAUGUGGAGGAACACCAGUGGCGAAAGCGGCUCUCUGGCCUGUAACUGACGCUGAGGCGCGAAAGCGUGGGGAGCGANNAGGANUANAUACCCUGNUAGUCCACGCC
rnacentral:rRNA from 1 species